rnacentral:rRNA from 1 species
GGGUUGUGAGGUUAAGCGACUAAGCGUACACGGUGGAUGCCCUGGCAGUCAGAGGCGAUGAAGGACGUGCUAAUCUGCGAUAAGCGUCGGUAAGGUGAUAUGAACCGUUAUAACCGGCGAUUUCCGAAUGGGGAAACCCAGUGUGUUUCGACACACUAUCAUUAACUGAAUCCAUAGGUUAAUGAGGCGAACCGGGGGAACUGAAACAUCUAAGUACCCCGAGGAAAAGAAAUCAACCGAGAUUCCCCCAGUAGCGGCGAGCGAACGGGGAGCAGCCCAGAGCCUGAAUCAGUGUGUGUGUUAGUGGAAGCGUCUGGAAAGGCGCGCGAUACAGGGUGACAGCCCCGUACACAAAAAUGCACAUACUGUGAGCUCGAUGAGUAGGGCGGGACACGUGGUAUCCUGUCUGAAUAUGGGGGGACCAUCCUCCAAGGCUAAAUACUCCUGACUGACCGAUAGUGAACCAGUACCGUGAGGGAAAGGCGAAAAGAACCCCGGCGAGGGGAGUGAAAAAGAACCUGAAACCGUGUACGUACAAGCAGUGGGAGCCUCUUUUAUGGGGUGACUGCGUACCUUUUGUAUAAUGGGUCAGCGACUUAUAUUCUGUAGCAAGGUUAACCGAAUAGGGGAGCCGAAGGGAAACCGAGUCUUAACUGGGCGUUAAGUUGCAGGGUAUAGACCCGAAACCCGGUGAUCUAGCCAUGGGCAGGUUGAAGGUUGGGUAACACUAACUGGAGGACCGAACCGACUAAUGUUGAAAAAUUAGCGGAUGACUUGUGGCUGGGGGUGAAAGGCCAAUCAAACCGGGAGAUAGCUGGUUCUCCCCGAAAGCUAUUUAGGUAGCGCCUCGUGAAUUCAUCUCCGGGGGUAGAGCACUGUUUCGGCAAGGGGGUCAUCCCGACUUACCAACCCGAUGCAAACUGCGAAUACCGGAGAAUGUUAUCACGGGAGACACACGGCGGGUGCUAACGUCCGUCGUGAAGAGGGAAACAACCCAGACCGCCAGCUAAGGUCCCAAAGUCAUGGUUAAGUGGGAAACGAUGUGGGAAGGCCCAGACAGCCAGGAUGUUGGCUUAGAAGCAGCCAUCAUUUAAAGAAAGCGUAAUAGCUCACUGGUCGAGUCGGCCUGCGCGGAAGAUGUAACGGGGCUAAACCAUGCACCGAAGCUGCGGCAGCGACACUGUGUGUUGUUGGGUAGGGGAGCGUUCUGUAAGCCUGUGAAGGUGUACUGUGAGGUAUGCUGGAGGUAUCAGAAGUGCGAAUGCUGACAUAAGUAACGAUAAAGCGGGUGAAAAGCCCGCUCGCCGGAAGACCAAGGGUUCCUGUCCAACGUUAAUCGGGGCAGGGUGAGUCGACCCCUAAGGCGAGGCCGAAAGGCGUAGUCGAUGGGAAACAGGUUAAUAUUCCUGUACUUGGUGUUACUGCGAAGGGGGGACGGAGAAGGCUAUGUUGGCCGGGCGACGGUUGUCCCGGUUUAAGCGUGUAGGCUGGUUUUCCAGGCAAAUCCGGAAAAUCAAGGCUGAGGCGUGAUGACGAGGCACUACGGUGCUGAAGCAACAAAUGCCCUGCUUCCAGGAAAAGCCUCUAAGCAUCAGGUAACAUCAAAUCGUACCCCAAACCGACACAGGUGGUCAGGUAGAGAAUACCAAGGCGCUUGAGAGAACUCGGGUGAAGGAACUAGGCAAAAUGGUGCCGUAACUUCGGGAGAAGGCACGCUGAUAUGUAGGUGAAGCGACUUGCUCGUGGAGCUGAAAUCAGUCGAAGAUACCAGCUGGCUGCAACUGUUUAUUAAAAACACAGCACUGUGCAAACACGAAAGUGGACGUAUACGGUGUGACGCCUGCCCGGUGCCGGAAGGUUAAUUGAUGGGGUUAGCGCAAGCGAAGCUCUUGAUCGAAGCCCCGGUAAACGGCGGCCGUAACUAUAACGGUCCUAAGGUAGCGAAAUUCCUUGUCGGGUAAGUUCCGACCUGCACGAAUGGCGUAAUGAUGGCCAGGCUGUCUCCACCCGAGACUCAGUGAAAUUGAACUCGCUGUGAAGAUGCAGUGUACCCGCGGCAAGACGGAAAGACCCCGUGAACCUUUACUAUAGCUUGACACUGAACAUUGAGCCUUGAUGUGUAGGAUAGGUGGGAGGCUUUGAAGUGUGGACGCCAGUCUGCAUGGAGCCGACCUUGAAAUACCACCCUUUAAUGUUUGAUGUUCUAACGUUGACCCGUGAUCCGGGUUGCGGACAGUGUCUGGUGGGUAGUUUGACUGGGGCGGUCUCCUCCUAAAGAGUAACGGAGGAGCACGAAGGUUGGCUAAUCCUGGUCGGACAUCAGGAGGUUAGUGCAAUGGCAUAAGCCAGCUUGACUGCGAGCGUGACGGCGCGAGCAGGUGCGAAAGCAGGUCAUAGUGAUCCGGUGGUUCUGAAUGGAAGGGCCAUCGCUCAACGGAUAAAAGGUACUCCGGGGAUAACAGGCUGAUACCGCCCAAGAGUUCAUAUCGACGGCGGUGUUUGGCACCUCGAUGUCGGCUCAUCACAUCCUGGGGCUGAAGUAGGUCCCAAGGGUAUGGCUGUUCGCCAUUUAAAGUGGUACGCGAGCUGGGUUUAGAACGUCGUGAGACAGUUCGGUCCCUAUCUGCCGUGGGCGCUGGAGAAUUGAGGGGGGCUGCUCCUAGUACGAGAGGACCGGAGUGGACGCAUCACUGGUGUUCGGGUUGUCAUGCCAAUGGCAGUGCCCGGUAGCUAAAUGCGGAAGAGAUAAGUGCUGAAAGCAUCUAAGCACGAAACUUGCCCCGAGAUGAGUUCUCCCUGACUCCUUGAGAGUCCUGAAGGAACGUUGAAGACGACGACGUUGAUAGGCCGGGUGUGUAAGCGCAGCGAUGCGUUGAGCUAACUGGUACUAAUGAACCGUGAGGCUUAACCUUACAACGCCGAAGCUGUU